UAUNGGACAAUGGGGGGAACCCUGAUCCAGCNACGCCGCGUGAGUGAAGAAGUAUCUCGGUAUGUAAAGCUCUAUCAGUAGGGAAGAAAGAAAUGACGGUACCUGAGUAAGAAGUCCCGGCCAACUACGUGCCAGCAGCCGCGGUAACACGUAGGGGGCAAGCGUUAACCGGAAUUACUGGGUGUAAAGGGAGCGUAGACGGUGAUGUAAGUCUGGAGUGAAAGGCGGGGGCCCAACCCCCGGACUGCUCUGGAAACUAUGUGACUGGAGUGCAGGAGAGGUGAGCGGAAUUCCUAGUGUAGCGGUGAAAUGCGUAGAUAUUAGGAGGGACACCAGUGGCGAAGGCGGCUUACUGGACUGUAACUGACGUUGAGGCUCGAAAGCGUGGGGAGCAAACAGG
rnacentral:rRNA from 1 species